GAUGAACGCUGGCGGCGUGCCUAAUACAUGCCAGUCGAGCGAACAGACGAGGAGCUUGCUCCUCUGACGUUAGCGGCGGACGGGUGAGUAACACGUGGAUAACCUACCUAUAAGACUGGGAUAACUUCGGGAAACCGGAGCUAAUACCGGAUAAUAUAUUGAACCGCAUGGUUCAAUAGUGAAAGACGGUUUUGCUGUCACUUAUAGAUGGAUCCGCGCCGCAUUAGCUAGUUGGUAAGGUAACGGCUUACCAAGGCAACGAUGCGUAGCCGACCUGAGAGGGUGAUCGGCCACAUUGGAACGGAGACACGGUCCAGGCUCCUAAGGGAGGCAGCAGAAGGGAAUCUUCCGCAAUGGGCGAAAACCUGACGGAGCAAGGCCGAGUGAGUGAUGAAGGUCUUCGGAUCGUAAAACUCUGUUAUUAGGGAAGAACAAAUGUGUAAGUAACUAUGCACGUCUUGACGGUACCUAAUCAGAAAGCCACGGCUAACUACGUG
rnacentral:rRNA from 1 species